rnacentral:rRNA from 1 species
AUCAACUUUCGAUGGUAGGAUAGAGGCCUACCAUGGUGGUAACGGGUAACGGGGUCUUAGGGCACGACACCGGAGAGGGAGCCUGAGAAACGGCUACCACAUCCAAGAAUGGCAGCAGGCGCGCAAAUUACCCAAUCCCGACACGGGGAGGUAGUGACAAUAAAUAACAAUACGGGGUCCUUUGGGUCUCGUAAUUGGAAUGAGUACAAUUUAAAUCUCUUAUCGAGGAACAAUUGGAGGGCAAGUCUGGUGCCAGCAGCCGCGGUAAUUCCAGCUCCAAUAGCGUAUAUUAAAGUUGUUGCAGUUAAAAAGCUCGUAGUUGAAUUUCGGGGUCGGUAGGUUGGUCAUGCCAUCGGUAUGCACUGGUCUCACCGAUUCCUCCCUCUUGUAGAAGCGUAAUGCCAUUAAGUUGGUGUUGCGGGGAAACAGGACUGUUACUUUGAAAAAAUUAGAGUGUUUAAAGCAGGCUAACGCUUGAAUACAUUAGCAUGGAAUAAUGAAAUAGGACGUCGAUCCUAUUUUGUUGGUUUCUAGGAUUGACGUAAUGAUUAAUAGGGAUAGUUGGGGGCAUUAGUAUUCAAUUGUCAGAGGUGAAAUUCUUGGAUUUAUUGAAGACUAACUACUGCGAAAGCAUUUGCCAAGGAUGUUUUCAUUAAUCAAGAACGAAAGUUAGGGGAUCGAAGACGAUCACAUACCGUCGUAGUCUUAACCAUAAACUACGCCGACUAGGGAUCGGAUGAUGUUAAUUUUUUAAUGACUCAUUCGGCGCCUUACGGGAAACCAAAGUGUUUGGGUUC